AAUACAGAGGUCUCAAGCGUUGUUCGGAUUCAUUGGGCGUAAAGGGUGCGUAGGUGGCGCGCUAAGUCAGGUGUGAAAUUUCGGAGCUUAACUCCGAAACUGCAUUUGAUACUGGCGAGCUUGAGGACUGGAGAGGAGACUGGAAUUCACGGUGUAGCAGUGAAAUGCGUAGAUAUCGUGAGGAAGACCAGUGGCGAAGGCGGGUCUCUGGACAGUUCCUGACACUGAGGCACGAAGGCCAGGGGAGCAAACGG
rnacentral:rRNA from 1 species